CAGUUAGCGGCAGCUACAGCAGCAAAUGGAACAAACCGUCCAAUCAGGGGUGAGAUGUGCUACAGCAGGCGAGAGGAGGCAUAAAAUCAACAACAAAAAAGCUGAACUACUGGGAGACCAGUGACACACCAAAGCGCAUGCAGGAAUCUGCAGCAGCAUGAUGAAACUCCACCUGGAAUUGCACCAAAGAUGGCUGCUGGAUUGACACUAAAACCGAAAACUCUCGUUUGCUGGCGGCAGGAGGCAUGCUGUCCCUUUAAAUGUAAUUAAACUCCAUGGGAAUCUCACGAGACGACAACAAAACACCCCCUUCUUUGAGCUUGCCCAAUGAAAACUGUAUGGAUAUCACUGUAUGGGUUCGAACAGAGCAAUUUCCAAUGUCAAAUCCGUAGUAACAUCAAUAAGGAUAGUUCAUAAAUGAA